UGGCUCUCGCAUCGAUGAAGAACGCAGCGAAAUGCGAUAAGUAAUGUGAAUUGCAGAAUUCAGUGAAUCAUCGAAUCUUUGAACGCACCUUGCGCUCCUUGGUAUUCCGAGGAGCAUGCCUGUUUGAGUGUCAUUAAAUUCUCAACCUCACCCGUUUUCUGAACGGUUCUGAGGCUUGGAUGUGGGGGUUUGUGUAGGCUGCCUCAGCGCGGUCUGCUCCCCUGAAAUGCAUUAGCGAGUUCAUUAGAAACUGAGCUCCGUCUAUUGGUGUGAUAAUUAUCUACGCCGUGGACAGGGUUUAGACUCGCUUCUAACCGUCCGCAAGGACAAUACCUUUGACAAUUUGACCUCAAAUCAGGUAGGACUACCCGCUGA
rnacentral:misc_RNA from 1 species